GACGAACGCUGGCGGCGUGCUUAACACAUGCAAGUCGAACGGAAAGGCCCUGCUUUUGUGGGGUGCUCGAGUGGCGAACGGGUGAGUAACACGUGAGUAACCUGCCCUUGACUUUGGGAUAACUUCAGGAAACUGGGGCUAAUACCGGAUAGGAGCUCCUGCUGCAUGGGGGGGGUUGGAAAGUUUCGGCGGUGGGGGAUGGACUCGCGGCUUAUCAGCUUGUGGGGGGGGUAGUGGCUUACCAAGGCUUUGACGGGUAGCCGGCCUGAGAGGGUGACCGGCGUCAUUGGGACUGAGAUACGGCCCAGACUGCUACGGGAGGCAGCAGUGGGGAAUAUUGCACAAUGGGCGGACGCCUGAUGCAGCAACGCCGCGUGCGGGAUGCCGGCCUUCUGGUUGUAAACCGCAUUCGCCUGUGACGAAGCGUGAGUGACGGUACUGGGUAAAGAAGCACCGGCUAACUACGUG
rnacentral:rRNA from 1 species